UACGAAGGGUGCUAGCGUUGUUCGGAUUUACUGGGCGUAAAGCGUGCGUAGGUGGCUUUACAAGUCAGGGGUGAAAUCCCACAGCUCAACUGUGGAAUUGCCUUUGAAACUGUAAGGCUUGAGUAUCGGAGGGGAUAGCGGAAUUCCUAAUGUAGAGGUGAAAUUCGUAGAUAUUAGGAGGAACACCGGUGGCGAAGGCGGCUAUCUGGACGAUUACUGACACUCUGGCACGAAAGCGCGGGGAUCAAACAGG
rnacentral:rRNA from 1 species